AAUACAAAAGUUAGCCGGGUGUGGUGUCAUGCACCUGUAACCCAGCUACACGAGAGGCUGAGGCAGGAGAAUUGCUUGAACACGGGAAGUGGAGGUUGCAGUGAGCCGAGAUUGCACCACUGCACUACAGCCUGGUGACAAAGUGGGACUCCAUCUCAAAAAAAAAAAAAAAAAGUUAAAGCCAUGUGUUUACUCUUUAUCAGAGAUGCCAAAGAGUAUAGCCUCUGAUUGCACACUUUUAAAGAAGCUAGAGUAUAGAAAUAGCACUUAGUAUUAUGUCAGCAAAUUCAAUGUUUUCAUAUAUUUUUUGCUCUAAAUUGGAAACUGGGGCAGUCCCCUGAAAGGUAUGUAUUUUAUUUGAAAAUAAUCCUAACCCCUGUAUUUAAUUCUUCUCCUCACUCAUCCUUGCUCCUUAUUCCUCUGCCCAGCAAGGCUUAUUUCUGCAUUUCCCCCUUUCUUUCCUUUCUCCAUAGAGUAUCAGGCCAGCUUCUCCUUCCCCGCCAGCCUCUCCAUCUGAGUUUCCCAUGGGCAGCUUCUCAGUGAACACAGGAAGGCCCAGACCCCGCUCUGGGGGCUCCGAGGACCCCGGUGUGCACAGGCAGGUUGGUGCCCGACACUCUACAACAUUUACAUACGCUUAUUUUCACAGGACAGCAAAUAUCCAGUAGUUUUGCAAUUGGGUCUGAGCCAUGGCUCUGACGUUAGAGAUUAGACACUGUGACAAAGGGAGAGAAUUCUGGGGGAAACAGACUCCCGGUUUCUAAGCAGAUGGAGUGAACAGCUGACUGGGGAGCUCAAGCCUGAAGCAGGUGGCAGAUUCUCUCGGCAGCACCAAAUCACCCUGUCAGGCGGUCCAGCCAGGGCAGCUCAGGAGUGGGCCACAGAGCAGGACGUGCCAGGACGUCCAGAGUGUGGGCGGAAGCCGCUUCCCAGUGGAGCCGGGCCAGGGGGAGACUGCCAGACAGAGAGGCGGAUGAGUCACCCUGAAAGCGAUCCCGGCCGUGACCUAGUGGGAGAGGAGAGAACAGAAGGGGCAGUCAGGAAUCGACAGCAGGGAAAAGGCAUCUCAGGCUUAGUGGUAAGUAG
rnacentral:lncRNA from 1 species